rnacentral:rRNA from 1 species
GUGCCAGCCGCCGCGGUAAUACGGAGGGGGUUAGCGUUGUUCGGAAUUACUGGGCGUAAAGCGCACGUAGGCGGAUUGGAAAGUUGGGGGUGAAAUCCCGGGGCUCAACCUCGGAACUGCCUCCAAAACUAUCAGUCUGGAGUUCGAGAGAGGUGAGUGGAAUUGCGAGUGUAGAGGUGAAAUUCGUAGAUAUUCGCAGGAACACCAGUGGCGAAGGCGGCUCACUGGCUCGAUACUGACGCUGAGGUGCGAAAGUGUGGGAAGCAAACAGGAUUAGAAACCCUGGUAGUCC